rnacentral:lncRNA from 1 species
UUGAGAAACUGUAGCCAGCCACAAAAUUAUUUUGUCCCAGGGCAAGAUUUUCCAGCUCUAUUCUUUUCUUCUCUUUUUGUCAUCUAUAACUCCUUCUAAAUCAAGCUUAUCAAGAUUUCACCAGUUUACUUUGCCUCUAAGACCCUGGAAAAGUGGAGACCUCACACCAAGGUCUUAGAAGCUCACAAAC